rnacentral:rRNA from 1 species
CCUACGGGAGGCAGCAGUGGGGAAUAUUGCACAAUGGGGGAAACCCUGAUGCAGCGACGCCGCGUGAGUGAAGAAGUAUUUCUGUAUGUAAAGCUCUAUCAGCAGGGAAGAAAAUGACGGUACCUGAUUACUAACCCCCGGGUAAAUACGUGCCAGCAGCCGCGGUCCUACGUAGGGGGCAAGCGUUAUCCGGAUUUACUGGGGGUAAAGGGAGCGUAGACGGCAGCACAAGUCUGGAGUGAAAUGCCGGGGCUUAACCCCGGAACUGCUUUGGAAACUGUGAAGCUAGAGUGCGGGAGAGGUAAGUGGAAUGCCUAGUGUAGCGGUGAAAUGCGUAGAGAUUAGGAGGAACACCAGUGGCGAAGGCAGCUUACUGGACUGUAACUGACGUUGAGGCACGAAAGCGUGGGGAGCAAACAGGAUUAGAUACCCUUGUAGUC